rnacentral:tRNA from 1 species
GCGCCCAUAGCUCAAUUGGAUAGAGUACCAGCCUCCGGAGCUGGGGGUUGGCCGUUCGAAUCGGCCUGGGCGCA